rfam:Lactobacillus capillatus DSM 19910 NODE_31, whole genome shotgun sequence.
GCCACUUUAGCUCAGCAGGUAGAGCACCACCAUGGUAAGGUGGGGGUCACCGGUUCAAAUCCGGUAAGUGGCU